rnacentral:misc_RNA from 1 species
AACACACCUUGCGCUCCAUGGUAUUCCGAGGAGCAUGCCUGUUUGAGUGUCAUUAAAUUCUCAACCUCACCCAUUUUGUCAUGAAGUGGUCUGUGUAGGCUUGGAUGUGGGGGCUUGCAGGUCCGACCUUUUGGGUUGGUCUGCUCCUCUGAAAUGCAUUAGUGGGUUGUGCCCCUAAUCUAUUGGUGUGAUAAUUAUCUACGCCGUGGAUCAGGAUUGGCGAUCAAUGACCUGCUGAUAACCGUCCGUCUCGGACAGCUUUGACAUUUUUGACCUCAAAUCAGGUAAGACUACCCGCUGAACUUAA